CACUAGCGUAUAUUAAAGUUGCUGCAGUUAAAAAGCUCGUAGUCGGAUCUCGGGAUCGCAUCCCGGCGGUUUUCGUUGGGCCAUGCCUCGCAAGGGGUCGUGGUUCCGCGGGGCCGUCGGGGUCUCAUCCGGAGGGUCUCCGGUAUCUCACCGGGGUUUCACCCGCCGCGAUGGCCCGCCGUUGCGUUUGGGCGGGUGUCCUUAGUUGGAUGCCCGCUUUCGGACGCGACCCCUUUACCUUGAACAAAUCGGAGUGCUCAAAGCAGGCUCCACCUCGCUCGAACGGUAGCGCAUGGAAUAAUGGAAGAGGACCGGCUUCCGCUUCUAUUGGUCUCACGGAGGCAGGUAAUGAUCAAGAGGAACGGACGGGGGCGGAGGUAUGGCCCGGCGAGAGGUGAAAUUCUUGGACCCCGGCCAGACCCUCGAGAGCGAAAGCAUCCGCCAAGGAUGUUUCCAUUGA
rnacentral:rRNA from 1 species